rnacentral:rRNA from 1 species
CCUACGGGUGACAGCAGUGAGGAAUAUUGGUCAAUGGACGAGAGUCUGAACCAGCCAAGUAGCGUGAAGGAUGACUGCCCUAUGGGUUGUAAACUUCUUUUAUAUGGGAAUAAAACGUUCCACGUGUGUGAUUUUGUAGGUACCAUAUGAAUAAGGAUCGGCUAACUCCGUGCCAGCAGCCGCGGUAAUACGGAGGAUCCGAGCGUUAUCCGGAUUUAUUGGGUUUAAAGGGCGCGUAGGUGGAUUGUUAAGUCAGUUGUGAAAGUUUGCGGCUCAACCUGAAAAUUGCAGUUGAAACUGGCAGUCUUGAGUACAGUAGAGGUGGGCGGAAUUCGUGGUGUAGCGGUGAAAUGCUUAGAUAUCACGAAGAACUCCGAUUGCGAAGGCAGUUCACUGGACUGCAACUGACACUGAGGCUCGAAAGUGUGGGUAUCAAACAGGAUUAGAUACCCUAGUAGUC